rnacentral:rRNA from 1 species
UACGGAGGAUCCAAGCGUUAUCCGGAAUCAUUGGGUUUAAAGGGCUCGUAGGCGGCCAACUAAGUCGGAUGUGAAAUCCCCAGGCUCAACUUGGGAACUGCAUCCGAUACUGGAUGGCUUGAAUCCGGGAGAGGGAUGCAGAAUUCCAGGUGUAGCGGUGAAAUGCGUAGAUAUCUGGAGGAAUACCGGUGGCGAAGGCGGCAUCCUGGACCGGCAUUGACGCUGAGGAGCGAAAGCCAGGGGAGCAAACGGG